rnacentral:rRNA from 1 species
UACGGGGGGAGCAAGCGUUGUUCGGAUUUACUGGGCGUAAAGGGCGCGUAGGCGGCUACCGCAGGUGGGUUGGGAAAUCUCUGGGCUUAACCCAGAAAGGUCAACCGAUACUGCGGGGCUAGAGUGCAGAAGGGGCAACUGGAAUUCUCGGUGUAGCGGUGAAAUGCGUAGAUAUCGAGAGGAACACCUGCGGCGAAGGCGGGUUGCUGGGCUGACACUGACGCUGAUGCGCGAAAGCCAGGGGAGCGAACGGG